CCUACGGGAGGCUGCAGUGAGGAAUAUUGGUCAAUGGACGAGAGUCUGAACCAGCCAAGUAGCGUGAAGGAUGACUGCUCUAUGGGUUGUAAACUUCUUUUAUAUGGGAAUAAAAUGUUCCUCGUGUGGGAUUUAGUAUGUACCAUAUGAAUAAGGAUCGGCUAACUCCGUGCCAGCAGCCGCGGUAAUACGGAGGAUCCGAGCGUUAUCCGGAUUUAUUGGGUUUAAAGGGAGCGUAGGUGGAUUGGUAAGUCAGAUGUGAAAGUUUGCGGCUCAACCGUAAAAUUGCAGUUGAAACUGGCAGUCUAGAGUACAGUAGAGGUGAGCGGAAUUCGUGGUGUAGCGGUGAAAUGCGUAGAUAUCACGAAGAACUCCGAUUGCGAAGGCAGCUCACUGGACUGCAACUGACGCUGAGGCUCGAAAGUGUGGGUAUCAAACAGGAUUAGAUACCCGAGUAGUC
rnacentral:rRNA from 1 species